rnacentral:misc_RNA from 1 species
GAUGAAGAACGUAGCGAAAUGCGAUAAGUAGUGUGAAUUGCAGAAUUCAGUGAAUCAUCGAAUCUUUGAACGCACAUUGCGCCCCUUGGUAUCCCGAGGGGCAUGCCUGUUCGAGCGUCAUUUCACCACUCAAGCCUGGCUUGGUGUUGGGCGACGUCCUCUUUGGGGACGCGCCUCGAAACGCUCGGCGGCGUGGCACCGGCUUUAAGCGUAGCAGAAUCUUUCGCUUUGGAAGUCGGGGCCCCGUCUGCCGGAAGACCUGCUCGCAAGGUUGACCUCGGAUCAGGCAGGGAUACCCGCUGAACUUAGGCAUAUCAAUAAGCGGAGGA